rnacentral:lncRNA from 1 species
UCAGGACCAAUAUUACCACAGUUACUCCUAGGGUCAGGAUAAGGAAGAAAUGGAGAUGAUAAAGGAGAAGCUAAAUUGAAUUGAUGGAGCAAGUUGCCCAAGUCUAAAGAAUACUUUUGGAAUGUGCUUGGUUCUAGGUGUGGUGCUUCCACCCAAGGUGCCAAAAUUGGAGAAGUAUAAUGAGAUUACGUGUCCCAAAAACCACUUGCACAUUUACGUAAGGAAAAUAUAUGUGCAC